CAGUAGCCGCGGUAAUACGUAGGUGGCAAGCGUUGUCCGGAAUUAUUGGGCGUAAAGGGCCCGCAGGCGGUUUCUUAAGUCUGAUGUGAAAGCCCCCGGCUCAACCGGGGAGGGUCAUUGGAAACUGGGAAACUUGAGUGCAGAAGAGGAGAGUGGAAUUCCACGUGUAGCGGUGAAAUGCGUAGAGAUGUGGUGGAACACCAGUGGCGAAGGCGACUCUCUGGUCUGUAACUGACGCUGAGGAGCGAAAGCGUGGGGAGCGAACAGGAUUAGAUACCCCUGUAGUCCCUGUCUCUUAUAA
rnacentral:rRNA from 1 species